UACGUAGGGGGCUAGCGUUGUCCGGAAUCAUUGGGCGUAAAGAGCGCGUAGGCGGCCAGAUAAGUCCGGUGUGAAAGUCAGAGGCUCAACCUUUGAAUGCCGCUGGAAACUGUCUGGCUAGAGUCCGGGAGGGGCGAGUGGAAUUCCUGGUGUAGCGGUGAAAUGCGCAGAUAUCAGGAGGAACACCAAUGGCGAAGGCAGCUCGCUGGAACGGUACUGACGCUGGAGGCGCGAAAGCGUGGGGAGCAAACAGG
rnacentral:rRNA from 1 species